AGAGUUUGAUCCUGGCUCAGGACGAACGCUGGCGGCGUGCUUAACACAUGCAAGUCGAACGGAAAGGCCCUUCGGGGUACUCGAGUGGCGAACGGGUGAGUAACACGUGGGUGAUCUGCCCUGCACUUUGGGAUAAGCCUGGGAAACUGGGUCUAAUACCGAAUAUGACCAUGCGCCUCCUGGUGUGUGGUGGAAAGCUUUUGCGGUGUGGGAUGGGCCCGCGGCCUAUCAGCUUGUUGGUGGGGUAAUGGCCUACCAAGGCGACGACGGGUAGCCGGCCUGAGAGGGUGACCGGCCACACUGGGACUGAGAUACGGCCCAGACUCCUACGGGAGGCAGCAGUGGGGAAUAUUGCACAAUGGGCGCGAGCCUGAUGCAGCGACGCCGCGUGAGGGAUGACGGCCUUCGGGUUGUAAACCUCUUUCAGCACAGACGAAGCGCAAGUGACGGUAUGUGCAGAAGAAGGACCGGCCAACUACGUGCCAGCAGCCGCGGUAAUACGUAGGGUCCGAGCGUUGUCCGGAAUUACUGGGCGUAAAGAGCUCGUAGGUGGUUUGUCGCGUUGUUCGUGAAAACUCACAGCUUAACUGUGGGCGUGCGGGCGAUACGGGCAGACUUGAGUACUGCAGGGGAGACUGGAAUUCCUGGUGUAGCGGUGGAAUGCGCAGAUAUCAGGAGGAACACCGGUGGCGAAGGCGGGUCUCUGGGCAGUAACUGACGCUGAGGAGCGAAAGCGUGGGUAGCGAACAGGAUUAGAUACCCUGGUAGUCC
rnacentral:rRNA from 1 species